GACGAACGCUGGCGGCGUGCUUAACACAUGCAAGUCGAACGGAAAGGCCCUGCUUGCAGGGUACUCGAGUGGCGAACGGGUGAGUAACACGUGGGUGAUCUGCCCUGCACUUCGGGAUAAGCCUGGGAAACUGGGUCUAAUACCGGAUAGGAGCCAUUUUUAGUGUGAUGGUUGGAAAGUUUUUUCGGUGUAGGAUGAGCUCGCGGCCUAUCAGCUUGUUGGUGGGGUAAUGGCCUACCAAGGCGGCGACGGGUAGCCGGCCUGGGAGGGUGGACGGCCACAUUGGGACUGAGAUACGGCCCAGACUCCUACGGGAGGCAGCAGUGGGGAAUAUUGCACAAUGGGCGCCAGCCUGAUGCAGCGACGCCGCGUGGGGGAUGACGGCCUUCGGGUUGUAAACUCCUUUCGCUAGGGACGAAGCUUUUUGUGACGGUACCUAGAUAAGAAGCACCGGCUAACUACGUG
rnacentral:rRNA from 1 species